CCUACGGGCGGCAGCAGUCGAGAAUCAUUCACAAUGGGGGAAACCCUGAUGGUGCGACGCCGCGUGGGGGAAUGCAGGUCUUCGGAUUGUAAACCCCUGUCAUGUGGGAGCAAAUUAAAAAGAUAGUACCACAAGAGGAAGAGACGGCUAACUCUGUGCAAGCAGCCGCGGUAAUCCAGAGGUCUCAAGAGUUGUUCGGAAUCACUGGGCGUACAGCGUGAGUAGGCUGUUUCGUAAGUCGUGUGUGAAAGGCGCGGGCUCAACCCGCGGACGGCACAUGAUACUGCGAGACUAGAGUAAUGGAGGGGGAACCGGAAUUCUCGGGGUAGCAGUGAAAUGCGUAGAGAUCGAGAGGAACACUCGUGGCGAAGGCGGGUGCCUGGACAUUAACUGACGCUGAGGCACGAAGGCCAGGGGAGCGAAAGGGAUUAGAUACCCUGGUAGUC
rnacentral:rRNA from 1 species